rnacentral:SRP_RNA from 1 species
GCUGGGCAUAGUGGCCUAUGCCUGUAGUCCCAGCUACCCGGGAGGCUGAGGCAGGAGGAUCACUGGAGCCCAGGAGUUCUGGGCUAUAAUGUGCUAUGCCCAUCGGGUGUCCAUACUCAGUUCAGCAUCAAUAUGGUGACCUCCUAGGAGCAGGGACCAUCAUGUUGCCUCUGGAGGGGUAAACCGGCCUAGGUCAGAAACGGAGCAGGUCAAAACUCCUAGGUUGAUCAGUAGUGGAACCGCCCCUGUAAACAGCCAUUGCCCUCCAGCCUGGGCAACAUGGUGAGAUCACAUCUCU